rnacentral:rRNA from 1 species
UUCUAGGGCCACAUCACCCUGAACACUCCCCAACGUGCCAGAUCUCGUCUGACCCCGGAAACUAAGCAGAGUUAAGCCUGGUUGGGACUUAUAUGGGAGAUCGCCUGGGAAUACUGGGUGCUGUAGGCU